GAUGAACGCUAGCGACAGGCCUAACACAUGCAAGUCGAGGGGCAGCAUAGAGGUAGCAAUACUUUGGUGGCGACCGGCGCACGGGUGAGUAACACGUAUGCAACCUACCUGUAAGAGGGGAAUAACCCGGAGAAAUUCGGACUAAUACCGCAUAAAACCACGAAUUCGCAUGGAUUUGUGUUUAAACAUUUAUGGCUUACAGAUGGGCAUGCGUAUGAUUAGCUAGUUGGUAGGGUAACGGCCUACCAAGGCAACGAUCAUUAGGGGUUCUGAGAGGAAGGUCCCCCACACUGGUACUGAGACACGGACCAGACUCCUACGGGAGGCAGCAGUGAGGAAUAUUGGUCAAUGGGCGAGAGCCUGAACCAGCCAAGUCGCGUGAAGGAAGAAGGUUCUAUGGAUUGUAAACUUCUUUUGUAAGGGAAUAAAAAGAGUUACGUGUAACUUAUUGUAUGUACUUUACGAAUAAGGAUCGGCUAACUCUGUGCCAGCAGCCGCGGUAAUAC
rnacentral:rRNA from 1 species